rnacentral:rRNA from 1 species
GACGAACCGUGCGAACGUUAUUCGGAAUCAUUGGGCUUAAAGGGCGCGUAGGCGGCGGUGUAAGUUGGAAGUGAAAUCCCAUCGGCUCAACCGUGGAAUUGCUCCCAGUACUGCAUCGCUCGAGGGGGAUAGGGGUCUGCGGAACUACCGGUGGAGCGGUGAAAUGUGUUGGUAUCGGUGGGAACGCCAGUGGCGAAAGCGGCAGACUUGACCCUUCCUGACGCUGAGGCGCGAAAGCUAGGGGAGCAAACGGG